AAGAACUAACGAGGAUUCCCCUAGUAACUGCGAGUGAAGCGGGAAAAGCUCAAAUUUGAAAUCUGGCGGUUCUUUGACUGUCCGAGUUGUAAUCUAGAGAAGUGUUACCAGUGCUGGACCAUGUACAAGUCUUCUGGAAUGGAGCAUCACAGAGGGUGAGAAUCCCGUCUUUGACAUGGACUGCCAGUGCGACUUGAUGGUGCGCUCUCGAAGAGUCGAGUUGUUUGGGAAUGCAGCUCAAAAUGGGUGGUAAAUGCCAUCUAAAGCUAAAUAUUGGCGAGAGACCGAUAGCGAACAAGUACCGUGAGGGAAAGAUGAAAAGAACUUUGGAAAGAGAGUUAAACAGUACGUGAAAUUGCUGAAAGGGAAACGCUUGAAGUCAGUCGCGUCUGCUAGAAAUCAGCCAUUUGCUCUUGCUUGGUGUACUUUCUGGUCGGACGGGUCAGCAUCAAUUUUGACCGCUGGAUAAAGUCUUUUUUGGGAAUGUGGCAUCCUUUGGAUGUGUUAUAGCCCAUGGUCGCAUACAGCGGUUGGGAUUGAGGAACUCAGCACGCCGCAAGGCUCGGAUCAUUUUUUUGACCACGAAAGUGCUUAGGAUGCUGGCAUAAUGGCUUUAAUCGACCCGUCUUGAAACACGGACCAAGGAGUCUAACAUGCCUGCGAGUGUUUGGGUGGAAAACCCAUGCGCGCAAUGAAAGUGAAAGUUGAGAUCCCUCUUGGGGGAGCAUUGACGCCCGGACCAGACCUUCUGUGACGGAUCCGCGGUAGAGCAUGCAUGUUGGGACCCGAAAGAUGGUGAACUAUGCCUGAAUAGGGUGAAGCCAGAGGAAACUCUGGUGGAGGCUCGUAGCGAUUCUGACGUGCAAAUCGAUCGUCAAAUUUGGGUAUAGGGGCGAAAGACUAAUCGAACCAUCUAGUAGCUGGUUCUGCGAGAUU
rnacentral:rRNA from 1 species